UUUGGUCAUUCACUUUGCCUUUUUACUCAUUCGGCCAUAUAUCCCAAUUCUUCAGUGUGGUCUUCUUUUCUUUCUAGUUUUUUUCCCACGACCCAAACAAAGAGUAGGAAAACAGAAGUUUUCAGAUCAAGAAUUUGGAUUUUCUUUCUUUCGAUUGUGUAAAUGAGAGAAGGGAAAAAAUGGUGCAUGCCUACGGAAAUGAGCCUGCAGUGUGCGAACAUUGAACAUAAAUUUGAACAAGAAAAAUAGAAAAAAAAACUGCUCAUACCCACGAAAUGAAGAGGACGAAUAAAAUUUAUGAGAUGUAAAAUAGGGAUGAGUUUAGCGCAAGUUUCUAAAAUCGAGUUUUUUUUUUUUUAAGUAAUGUAUUUAAAUAAUAAUAUAAAAGUAACAUGGUUUAUGAUUUCGCAACUAAGUACCCAACGCUGAAUACCCGUAGUGGAAUUGUUUAAAAAUAUAAAACCGGUCGCACUGGUACGAUCCCAAAUUCAUCCCUAACCCCAACGUUGCAAACAGUUUUAAAAUUAAAUCCCUUUAUUUUCAAUAUUUUCCCCCCCUUUCCUCUUUUUCGUUCUCCCCCUUCGUGCCGCCUCCUGUCCCUCUCCCUCUCCCGAUUCCUUUCCCCUUCACAGCCCUUGCUGCCGCAACCAGCCUCCAGCCGCGCCGCCCUCACCGGUGAGCUUCUCUCCCUUUGAUGACCUCCCUCCGACGACCCCUCUCCCUUCCCUUCUCGGUAUCUCUCUAUUUCCCUUUUUCUCUCUCUGUAGCCCCAGUGACACAGUACGCCUCCACUGUGAGCAGCCAGCCUAACCACCACGAGCACACCGUUGCCGGCCACCACCAAUCACGACUGCCUCAUUGCCUGUUCUCUCUCGCAUCUCCGUAGCUCCUCUUCCAACAAAAUAACGCACGAACUACAGUGAGCAACAACAAGGAUAACUUCUGCAUGUCCGAUCUCAACGCCCGUAUUCUCUAAUUCCUUAAAACCCAAAUCUCUCGCUGUUGUCGAUCUUAUUUGCUAAUCUAUUUUUUCCUUGUAGUUUAAUUUUUCUGUGCGUUGCUCUCAACCAGAGGAUCCAGCAGGCCUUGUUUUUCUUUUUCGCAGCUUGCAGUUUGGUUUUUGUAUGUCAUAGCACAGCACCGUCACUUCUUUAGAUUUUCAUGAAUUUUCAGUAGCUUUUUCUUGAGAUUGUAGCAAUUCUUGUUUCGGUGAUGGAGGAAGCUGUACCACUUUGUGGCUGCACUUGAAGACAUUUAAUUCUUGAAUAAACAUCAUUAAUCUCGUGUUUAAUUGCGCAGAAUUGUAUUUUGUUAGAAUUUCAGAAUUGUGGAACUUGAAUAUGAAUCUUCCUACUAGAAUUUCAUCAUAAAAUUGGGUAAAAUUAAAAAGUUUAAGAGAGAUUGCUUGUUUUAAUUAAUAAUUCGUUUGCGUCUUGUGUUGGCAUUAGUUACAUCUUCAGGAGAUUGUGCCAUUAGAUGCUGGGAAUAUCUUUUAGUGAUCCCCCAUCUCCAUCAAAAUUUAAGCCAUCUGAUGAUAUCCCAGAUAUAGAAUGGGAUAAGAUUGAACGUCUUGUCUUUCAAAAACUUCUUUAUUAUGCUGCCACAUACUCUGUGUUUUAAUUGGGUGAAAAAUCCAGACUAUGAUCGAUUAUGUAAAGUAGUAUUCAUAAACUUCUUUAUUAUGCUGCCACAUAUUCUGUAUUUUAAUUGUGUUGUCUUGAAAAUUGCAAUUUUUUUAUGUUCCAAUUGUGUUUGUUUUUGUGAAGGUUGACUGGAUAAACAAGUUUCUUGAGUAUAUGUGACCAUAUCUUGACAAGGUCUAACUGCUCCUGAAUUUCAUUUGAUCUAUUUUUAUGGUAUAGAUUUAACUGCUUCUAUAUAUCUCUUCAUAAGUAUUUGAUGCUCUUUAUUUUCUCAUAGGCAAUUUGCAUGACUGCAAGGAACAUUGCAAAGCCUAUAAUUGCUGUUAAAAUGUACUACAAAUCCUAAUAUCACUGUUUCUGUUAAAGCAUUUGGGUUGAAAGCAACUGUACUGGUGAUUGGUUUGUUUUACUCAGUGAGGAAGAUUUUGUUAUAUGAAAGAAAGGGAGGGAGUGAGGGAGCUGAUUCUAAAUAUUGUUCAGUUGGGAUGAUUUCAUGUGGUGGAUUUGCAAGUGUUUGCUGCACCACGUAUCACCUUGAAGCCAUUGGUUCCAACCUUUCCUUGUUUUGCCAAAAUCUAUGUGUCUCUCAUGGACAAGGUAUUUGGCAUAGGAGAAAUAGAGCAGUGUUUGAGGACAGAUUUGAUGGUCCUGGUCUGGUGAUCAAAAAAGCAGCUAUGAUGUUAGAAGGGUUCCAGGAAGCUGAAGGAAUUCUGAGUGGGCAGAAACAGAUUGCUGGUACAAGUAGAGCAAAUACAAAGUGGCUGGAGGCUCUUGAACAAGUGACAGAAAUUAAUUUUGAUGCUUCAGUGGAUAAAGUUGGUAAGAAAAUGGGGAUGGGGGAGGUGGCAAGGAACCAUGAAGGGGAGUUAAUGUUUUCUAUAUGUGCUGCAAGAUGAUUUGUGGGUGAUGUUGAGGUAGCUGAAGUAAAAGCUUUGUGGAAGGCCAUGGAGAUGGCUACUGUGCUGAAUUUGUAGAAGGUCUGUUUCAGAGGGGAUGCACACAAGGUGAUUAAAGUUGUGAGGAGCAAGGAAGUAUGCAAUGGGUGGAUGGAGCAGCUGGUGUUUGACAUAAAAGAAGUGCUGUCACAUAGGCCUAAUUGGUCUGUUAACUUCAUUUACAGAGAAGGAAACCAGAUUGCAGAUCAAUUGGCAAAGAGAGCAUUGAGAAGAGAUGAGGAAUCUUACUGGAUAGAAAAUGGACCUGCUGAACUUAUGUAUCUAGUAGAGCAAGAGAAACCAUGUAUUGAGCAAGGCUCAGAUUUAUUAAUUGGGAGGACUAAAAGGAAAGGAACCGCACAAAUUUUGUACAAAAAAAAAAAAAAAAAACUUUCGUGGCAUAUUGCUAUAUUAGUAUGUGGGAUUCUGAAUUCUUUGGGGUCUAUUGGGUUAAAAAAACAAUUGGCGGGUUUAUGCCCCAUCGGCCAUUAAAAUUUGGUACUCGAUAUAUAGCCCCAAUUUCAAGUGCCUUUUGGGGGUUUUGAGGUUUAGAACA